rnacentral:rRNA from 1 species
UACAACAUAACACUAUUGCAUAGGAUCCCAUUAAAACUCCACAAUUAAGUGUGCUUAUGCUAGAGUAGUAAUGGGAUGGGUGACCACCUGGGAAGUCUUAGUGUUUUAC